AGUGAACGCUGGCGGCGUGCCUAAUACAUGCAAGUCGAACGGAGUGGCGCACGGGUGCGUAAUGUAUAGCUAAUCUGCCCUACACUAGAGGACAACAGUUGGCAACGACUGCUAAUACUCUAUAGUGUAGGAUGAGGCUAUAUUGUAUCAGCUAGUUGGUGAGGUAAUUGCUCACCAAGGAAAUGACGAAUAACUGGUCUGAGAGGAUGAACAAUCACAGUGGAACUAAAACGCGGUCCAGACUUCAACGCGAGGCAGCAGUAGGGAAUAUUGCUCAAUGGGCGAAACACUGAAGCAGCAACGCCGCGUGGAGGAUGACACUUUUCGGAGCGUAAACUCCUUUUGUUAGGGAAGCGGUACCUAACGAAUAAGCACCGGCUAACUACAUGCCAGCAGCCGCGGUAAUUC
rnacentral:rRNA from 1 species